CCUACGGGAGGCAGCAGUGGGGGAUAUUGCACAAUGGGGGGAACCCUGAUGCAGCGACGCCGCGUGUGGGAAGACGGUCCUCUGGAUUGUAAACCACUGUCCCCAGGGACGAAAAUGACGGUACCUGGGGAGGAAGCUCCGGCUAACUACGUGCCAGCAGCCGCGGUAAUACGUAGGGAGCGAGCGUUGUCCGGAAUUACUGGGUGUAAAGGGAGCGUAGGCGGGGAUGCAAGUUGGGUGUCAAAACUACCGGCUCAACUGGUAGUCGCACUCAAAACUGCAGCUCUUGAGUGAAGUAGAGGCAGGCGGAAGUCCUAGUGUAGCGGUGAAAUGCGUAGAUAUUAGGAGGAACACCAGUGGCGAAGGCGGCCUACUGGACGGUGACUGACGCUGAGGCUCGAAAGCGUGGGGAGCAAACAGGAUUAGAUACCCUUGUAGUC
rnacentral:rRNA from 1 species